rnacentral:rRNA from 1 species
UACGGAAGGCAGCAGUGGGGAAUAUUGCACAAUGGGCGAAAGCCUGAUGCAGCUAUGCCGCGUGUAUGAAGAAGGCCUUAGGGUUGUAAAGUACUUUCAUCGGGGAGGAAAAACAAAACUAAUAAUUUUAUUUCUUGACGUUACCCGAAAAAGAAGCACCGGCUAACUCCGUGCCAGCAGCCGCGGUAAUACGGAGGGUGCUAGUGUUAAUCAGAAUUACUGGGCGUAAAGAGCACGUAGGUGGUUUUUUUAAGUCAGAUGUGAAAUCCCUGGGCUUAACCUAGGAACUGCAUUUUGAAACUGAAAUACUAGAGUAUCGUAGAGGGAGGUAGAAUUCUAGGUGUAGCGGUGAAAUGCGUAGAUAUCUGGAGGAAUACCUGUGGCGAAAGCGGCCUCCUAAACGAAUACUGACACUGAGGUGCGAAAGCGUGGGGAGCAAACAGGGAUUAGAUACC